UGAGGAACAUGACCUUCGGCGGGGGAGUAGCCGGCCCAACGGCCGGGUAAUACCGCGUACGACCACAUGGGGACAUCCCUGAGUGGUGAAAGCAGCAAUGCGCGAUGGAGUGCCUCGCGGCCUAUCAGCUAGUUGGUGAGGUAAUGGCUCACCAAGGCGACGACGGGUAGCCGGCCUGGAGAGGGCGAUCGGCCACACUGGGACUGAGACACGGCCCAGGCUCCCGUAGGGGACGG
rnacentral:rRNA from 1 species